rnacentral:rRNA from 1 species
UACGGGGGGUGCAAGCGUUAAUCGGAAUUACUGGGCGUAAAGCGCGCGUAGGCGGCUUGGUCAGUUGUGUGUGAAAGCCCUGGGCUCAACCUAGGAACUGCAUGCAAUACUGCCAGGCUAGAGUAUGGUAGAGGGAAGUGGAAUUCCAGGUGUAGCGGUGAAAUGCGUAGAUAUCUGGAGGAACAUCAGUGGCGAAGGCGACUUCCUGGAUCAAUACUGACGCUGAGGUGCGAAAGCGUGGGGAGCAAACAGG